rnacentral:rRNA from 1 species
GACGAACGCUGGCGGCGUGCUUAACACAUGCAAGUCGAACGGAAAGGCCCUGCUUUUGUUGGUUGCUCGAUUGGCGAACGGGUGAGUAACACGUGAGUAACCUGCCCUUGACUUUGGGAUAACUUCAGGAAACUCGGGCUAAUACCGGAUAUGAUCUCCUGCUGCAUGGUGGUGGUUGGAAAGAUUCGGCGGUUCUGUCUGGACUCGCGGCUUCUCAGCUUGUUGGUGUGUAGUGGCUUACCAAGGCUUUGACGGGUAGCCGUCCUGAGAGGGUGAACGGGCACAUGGGGACUGAGAGACGGCCCAGAAGCCUACGGGAGGCAGCAGUGGGGAAUAUUGCGCAAUGGGGGGGAGCCUGAUGCAGAAACGCCGCGUGCGGGAUGACGGCUUUCGGGUUGUAAACCGCUUUCGCCGGUGACGAAGCGGGAGUGACGGUAAUGGGUAAAGAAGCACCGGCUAACUACGUG